UAGGGAAUCUUCGGCAAUGGGCGAAAGCCUGACCGAGCAACGCCGCGUGAAUGAUGAAGGCCUUCGGGUUGUAAAAUUCUGUUAUAAGGGAAGAACGACUCUAGUAGGAAAUGGCUAGAGUGUGACGGUACCUUAUGAGAAAGCCACGGCUAACUACGUGCCAGCAGCCGCGGUAAUACGUAGGUGGCGAGUGUUAUCCGGAAUUAUUGGGCGUAAAGGGCGCGCAGGUGGUUGAUUAAGUCUGAUGUGAAAGCCCACGGCUUAACCGUGGAGGGUCAUUGGAAACUGGUCAACUUGAGUGCAGAAGAGGGAAGUGGAAUUCCAGGUGUAGCGGUGAAAUGCGUAGAGAUAUGGAGGAACACCAGUGGCGAAGGCGGCUUCCUGGUCUGUAACUGACACUGAGGCGCGAAAGCGUGGGGAGCAAACA
rnacentral:rRNA from 1 species